rnacentral:rRNA from 1 species
CCCCUAGAUGUUCUGGGCCGCACGCGCGCUACACUGAACAGUUCAACAAGUCUUAACCUUGGCCGAUAGGUCUGGGUAAUCUUUGAACGCUGUUCGUGAUUGGGAUAGACCUUUGCAAUUAUGGGUCUUCAACGAGGAAUUCCUAGUAAACGCAAGUCAUCAGCUUGCGUUGAUUACGUCCCUGCCCUUUGUACACACCGCCCGUCGCACCUACCGAUUGAAUGGUCCGGUGAAAUCUCGGGACGGCGGCUUGGUCGCUUGCGUCCGACUGCUGAAACUUGAUUAAACCAUAUCAUUUAGAGGAAGGUGAANUCGUAACA